UACGUAUGUGACAAGCGUUGUCCGGAUUUACUGGGCGUAAAGAGCGCGCAUGCGGUCGAUCAAGUCGAGUGUGAAAGCCCCCGGCUCAACUGGGGAGGGUCAUUCGAUACUGAUCGACUCGAAGGCAGGAGAGGGUAGUGGAAUUCCCGGUGUAGUGGUGAAAUGCGUAGAUAUCGGGAGGAACACCAGUGGCGAAGGCGACUACCUGGCCUGUUCUUGACGCUGAGGCGCGAAAGCUAGGGGAGCAAACGGG
rnacentral:rRNA from 1 species